rnacentral:rRNA from 1 species
AGUGAACGCUGGCGGUAGGCCUAACACAUGCAAGUCGAACGGCAGCACAGUAAGAGCUUGCUCUUACGGGUGGCGAGUGGCGGUCGGGUGAGGAAUACAUCGGAAUCUACUUUUUCGUGGGGGAUAACGUAGGGAAACUUACGCUAAUACCGCAUACGACCUACGGGUGAAAGCAGGGGAUCUUCGGACCUUGCGCGAUUGAAUGAGCCGAUGUCGGAUUAGCUAGUUGGCGGGGUAAAGGCCCACCAAGGCGACGAUCCGUAGCUGGUCUGAGAGGAUGAUCAGCCACACUGGAACUGAGACACGGUCCAGACUCCUACGGGAGGCAGCAGUGGGGAAUAUUGGACAAUGGGCGCAAGCCUGAUCCAGCCAUACCGCGUGGGUGAAGAAGGCCUUCGGGUUGUAAAGCCCUUUUGUUGGGAAAGAAAAGCAGCAGGUUAAUACCCCGCUGUUCUGACGGUACCCAAAGAAUAAGCACCGGCUAACUUCGU